UUUUUGCUCUCCGAGGUGAUAGAAUGGCUGCCACACAGGUUUGUAUUAUGUUGAAAAAAUGUCAAUACAUUUAACAAAAAUAAAGUAUUUUUUCUUGAAUAGUUAAUGUAUGAACAGAAUAAUUUGUGGCUGAAUACAUUUUGGUUUUUGGUAUUUCUCCACAUAUACUACAUUCACGUGUACUCCUCCACACAUACUACUUUUAAUAGAAACAUGAUCUAGUUUGAUCAAUUUACAGUAGAAACUAGUGUUUGAAUUGGCUUUGAAUUAAUCGUAGACCUUGACCAUACAAAUGAGAAAUACAUUUAGUGGGGUGUGGAGAGAAAUAUCCCAUUCUGCCUUCCUGAUAAUAGGCUAUGUGUGCACCUGUUCAUUCAGGAAUUCCUCCUCAGGGAGCUGGAUGAUGCAGACAACAGAGAGGUGGUGAGACUGAUGUUUCAGCGAGUUCUUUUUAUGUCUAGAGAUUUACUGGCGGCAGAAUGGUGAGCCACCACUUGCACAUGUACCAGGUGCACCUGUGGCAACUGCAGGGAGAUGCCUACAGACAGAGAGAGGAAGUGCUGUGGUCAGGGACCAGACCUCUGUGUUAACCAGCUGCCACAUUUCACCCAUUACUGCCUAGGCAACAGCUAUUUAAGUUUGCACAGGCGGUAUAGGGUUGACGUGUUGGCAGUGGCUGAUGCAGCAGAGCCUGGAGAUGACGCCCCGGAGUAUCGGCAUGCUGCCUACACACAGUUUGUGAUGUAGCAGCAUGGUGCCCUUGGUGCAGGAAACCGAGUUGCUGUGUUUGGAGAAUCAGUGACACAUUCCCUGAUCCCCAUUCACAGUACGCUGGGUUCCACCCUGGCCGCUAGGAUUCUCAAAGCAUGUGGCAUGAUGCCAUACUAGUGAUGUGCCCAAAGACUGUCCGUUGCCAGACCCUUAUUGGCAUGACAUUAGUAUGGUAUCAUGCCACUUGCUGUGAACAGAACACAACCUCUCUCUCAGUUUGCAUUCUCCACACACAAACACCUGCCAGGUGCAUCUUCAGGACAAAAACCUUCUUAGUGGGCACACCAUGUCAUAUCAAAGAUUCUAAAGGUUGAUAGUUUAUUUCUCACACAAGUGAAAUGUUUAAUGAAAAAAAUUCUGAAUUUCACACUGAAAGUGUGCUUGACUAAAUAAUGUUACAUUAGUUUUUACAUUUGUCUAUAUUGAAAAUGGUUACCAUUGUGACAUAAUCCUCCAGUUGAAAUGUCCCCCUCAAAACAAUAGUAAAUGCCAAUGACUUGUGCCACCCUAAAAAAAACAGUUAACGCGACUGACUUGCGCCACCCUCAAAACAACAGUUCACGCCAAUGACUUGUGCCAACCUCAUAACAACAGUUGAUGCCAAUGACUUGGGCCACCCUCAAAACAACAGUUAAUGCCAAUGAUGUGUGUCACCCUCAAAACAACAGUUAACGCCAAUGACUAGUGCCAGUUCUAUGCAGGUAAAUAAGAACUUAUUCCAAGCCUUGCUAUUCAAGGAGACAUGAUGUCCAGUGAAAAAAAGACAGAGGCGCGAAAUGAUUAGGUUAUGGUAACGAUAUUCCAGAGGAGCUAUCCAGUGGAAUAUAAAACACAUGACUACCUCUGGACAAAUUAACUCAAUGACAUAUAAUUAAAAGUGGUAAUCAGGGAGUCGUCCAUGACCACAGGCUUCCCCCCACUUCUUGUGUUGUUUAAAUAUACAAUCUAUGGGAGUGAGAGAGUGGGAGAGCGCAUACAAUGCAUUCGGAAACUAUUCAGCCCCAUGACUUUUUCCACAUUUGGUACGUUGCAGUCUUAUUCUUAAAAAAUGUCCCUUAUCAAUCUACACACAAUUCCCUACAAUGACAAAGUGAAAACAGGUUUUUAGAAUUUUUUUCAAAUGUAUUAAAAAGAAAAAACAGAAAUACCUUAUUUCUGACCUGAUUCAGGAAACUAGGCGUAUGUCGGAAGUCAUGACUUCACAGGAGAGCCUUUUGAACGUAAUUUUUUUUUUAAAUCAAAAUGCAUUUUUUGGCAGAAAUGCCUUCUCGAACAUGUGAACUUUCAUGUGCCUUAAUAUCAAACUUGUAUGCCAUCUGUAAAUACGAAUAAAAUUGUUCAAUUACGAGCCUAGUUGGUUUAGCCACAGAAAAAGUCAGCAACCUUGCCAUGAUUGGCUGAGAUAAUGAGUGGGCUGGACAUGCUGAGAGAUGAGUUUCGAUUGGUCGGUGUUGCAUCUUGUGUCUAUAAAAUGAGCUGCUUGUUAUGUGUAAAUAAGUGUUUCUACUUCAGUGUUUUUUUUGGAGAAUGGAGAACUGCAAAUAUGUUGCUACUGCUCUCAAUAACAUUACUGCCCUGAAUUUAUCAGGCAAAGGUCAGUGGGAAAAAGUUGUGAUGGACUACUUUCUGGAUGACGAUCGUGCCAUGCAAUGCUGACUCUCUCAUUUCAGAACACGUUUUGAAAUCAGUGCAACACAAAGUGCAACACAAAGGGCCGAACAAGCUGGGCAAACUAAACGGAAACAACACAGGAUGUCUUAUAAAAGAGGUUGCCGUCUGCCGUGAAGCUUUCAUCCAUGUAUACAGCAUUAAUCAGUAAAACGCGCCUGACUCCACCAGUCAUACAGUCAUCAAAAAGAGAGCUGGACCAAGCAGGCAAAGGCAGUAGCGCAGUCAUCAACUACAAGCACCAUUUCUUCAACUACAGAGUUGGAAAAACACGUGUGGACCUGACUUGUGAUCACUGCAGUGGCCAGAACAAGUUUGUGCUCUGGUAUUGUGCCUGGUGGGCCAUGCACAAGCUCCACCACAAUUUGGACCUUCACUUCCUGAUCACAGGCCACACCAAGUUUGACCCUGACUUAUGCUUCGGCCUCAUCAAGCAGCGCUUCAGAAAGACCAGAGUGAACACUUUGUCUGAGAUUGUUGGUGUUGUGAAGGACAGCACUGUGGCAGGGGUCAACAUCCCACAGCUGGUUGGACUAGAUGAUGGUACGGUGCUGGUGGAAAGCUAUGGCUGGCAACAACACCUGACAACACACGUACUUUAGGCCGCUGCCACAGAUCAAGCAGUACCAGCACUUCAGGUAAAAAAUACGUUUCUUUGUAUGAGGUUAUUCUUAUCUAUACUUGGGAGAUGAAUUGAUGUUGUGCAGGGUUGUAAUGUCUUCUGAUUAAAAAAAAAAAAAAAAUCCCCGUUUUACAACUUCGAUGCUCUGGAGCCUGGUGUUGUCUCCAAGGAGCGUUCAGACUGUCAAGACCAGGUUUCAGCUGCUGCGCAACGCUGCCAUCCUUCCUCCCAUAGAUAUCCUGGCUGUAAAAGCACCAGCUGGACUGGACACAGCUAGUCAAACUAUCUUUUUGACAAGAUCAAGGAGUUUCGUGACGAAAAGGUUAUGGACAUCACAUGCCCUUCACCAAGGUCAAAGGCAGGACCGAAACAGGCUCUCCGAAUAUAGAUUCCCUUGUUCAUGCGUGGUUUGGACAGACCAGUCAUCAGCACUAUAUGCUGUGCCUCUAUUCGCAUGACUCUCUCCUACGUUGCUGCUAACUAUUUUUUUUAUCCUGCUGCUCUGCCACUUUACCCUUGAUUGUAUGCAUAUAACUACCUCGUCUAUCACUAUCGUUAUUGUUCUUGUACAUGUAGUAUGUUUUAUUGAUAUUGACACUGACACUAUCUAUUUCUGAUAUUGCUACUAUGCAAGUAACCAUUUGGCUGUACCGUUUACACCUUCUGUAUAGACCAUCCACUUAGCAAGACUUAGCAAAAUAUUGGUAUAUAAAAUGUAAUAUUGAUAUGUGUGAUCCAUACGUUUUCCUUGACACCCAAAAGUACUUGUUACAUUUUGACAGGAAAAUUGUCCAAUUCAAUCGUUUAUCAAGAGAACAUCCCUGGACAUCUCUAUUACCUCUGAUCUGAAUGACUCACUAAACACAUGCUUUGUUUGUAAAUUAUGUCUGAGUGUUGGAGUGUGCCCCUGGCUAUACAUCAAUAACAAAUAAUACAUUUGUCCCGUAUGGUUUGCUUGAUAUAAUGAAGUUGAAAUGGUUUAUACUUUUGAUACUUAAGUAUAUUGUUCCCCUGGCUAUCUGUCAAUGUAUUUUUUUUUUUAAAUACAAUUGUGCCGUCUGGUUUAAUAUAAUGAAUUUGAAAUUAUUUAUAUUUUUACUCAAGUAUGACAAUUUAGUACUUUUUCCAACCACUGGAUGUGGCUUGUGGUUAUAGCAUUUUGUUCACAUGACCAAUCAAUUUAGACAAGUGUAAGCGUCAUCUAAUAAUUAUACAAAUAUUUUAUCUGGA